rnacentral:lncRNA from 1 species
CUUUUUUUUUUUUUCAUUUUUUUUUCAUUUGCUUUUUAAAUUGCAGUAAUUAUAAUUUUAUUUCUAGAAGUUGUAUUUGAUUCCUUUUAAAAUCUGCCUGGUCAUAUAUUGAUAGCUUUUUUUUUCUUAUUCAUAUCUUCAAUUCUGCUUUUUACAUAAACUUUUCAUAUUUAGUUACUUUAUUUUCUGCACCUCUUUAUGCUAAUAUCUGAAAUCCUUACAAGAGUCCUCAUUUGUUGUUUUUAUUCCUUGUGCAUAUUUGAUUUUUUAUUCAGUCAACUCAUAUUUGACUGAAUUUAUCUUUUAAGAAAUUCUAAGUGGUUUAGAUUAAAAGAUAAGUUCUUGAAGAAAAUACUUCUGGUUUUUUUUUUUUUUUUUUUGCUGGGAGUUGGGAGGUGCUAACAAUCUGUUAUCAUUUUAAUGUCUUGUCCCUGGCCAUGAGGAAUGUAUAUAUUUUAACCCCAGACCCAUGUGAUAAUAGGUAGUACAUACUAUUAUUCUUACUGUUUUCCUCUUGAAGUUAUGGCAAUGAUAAAUAGGCCUUCUUAUGCACUUACAUUACUGCAAGGGAUUUUCUCCAGUCUCACAUUCCAGUUGUGUUCAGUGAUUAGCAUCUCACAAUUUGCUUCCCAAUUUGUAUGGGCCUUAGGACCUACUUUUUUUUUUUUUUUUUGCCUUUCUUAGGGCUGCACCUGCACCAUAUGGAAGUUCCCAGACUAGGGUUUGAAUCAGAGUUGCAGCUGCCAGCCUAUGCCACAGCCACAGCAACUCGGGAUCCAAGCCACAUCUGUGACCUAUGCCAUAGCUUGCAUCAACACCAGAACCCUAACCCAUUCAAUGAGGCCAGGGAUUGAAGCUGCAUCCUCAUGGAUUCUAGUUGGGUUUGUUAAGAAUCCCACUAGUAUCUAUGAGGAUGCAGGUUCAGUCCCUGGCCUUGCUCAGUGGGCUAAAGAUCCAGCAUUGCCAUGAGCUGUGGUGUAGAAUGCAGAUGUGCCUAGGAUCUGGUGUUGCUGUGGCUGCGGUGUAUGCCAGUAGCAGCAGCUCCGAUUCCACCCCUAGCCUGGGAACUCCCAUAUGCUGCAGGUAUGGCCCUAAAAAGGAAAAGAAAAAGAAAAAGAAAAAAAUCCUCAAGAUUCUUACUAAGUGUAAAAUCCCUAGUGAUUUGAAAGUUGUGAAGAUAACAAAAAUGAUGGUAAGCAAAAUUUACUGUGUAUCGAACUAUUUGCCAGGCACUGUAUAUAUGUUGCCUCAUUUACCCUAGGAAUUAGGUAAUAUUAUCUCUAAGCUACAGGUAAAAAACCUGAGAUUUUGAGAAGGCAAAUAAUAGGGUUUGUCUGAUAAUAAAUUUUUGUGUGCUUUUUUUCCCCCACUAAGCUGGAUUGCCUUUCUAUCCAAGAUCUGCAAUCAUAGAAGAUGGAAACACUUGAAAAAUGUUAUCAGCUAUACUUUGCUUUCAGGUGGCAGACUGAUCAGAGAUCAACUUGGAAGUACAGUAUCUUCAUUUCUUAAAAGUGUAUCAAAUUUGAUCAACAUCUGGCAAUCUCUUCAAAACAUCAUGGAUCAAAGAAAUAGACAAAAAUCGGAAGCCUUAAACACUCAAGGUAAGAAAGAGCUGUUUCCCAGUCAUUCAAGAAUAUUAGGUAAGUUCCAGAAGCAAUAUAUUUGUUUGUUUUGUGUUUCUUUAUUCACUACCAUCUAUCAAAAAGAAUUUAGGAUAGCUGACAAAGAUGUAUAAAAUCCAACAUAUAAAUUAGAAAUAGGUAAGGGGGUAAGAAACAAGAAGAAACAAAAAGGAAAAACAAAGGAAUGAGACUAAAAUUAAAAGGUAUACCAUUGAGCCGCUUCUGAGGCAGGUGGCAAAUUUGACCCUAAACUUUCUAAGGUCAACUUUAAAAGGGCUGCUUGAGUAGUUAUGAGUCACCAUGUGUAAAUAAUAAAAAAACAAUCCAACUGCUAAGAAGCACAACUAUGACUGAUUUCCAUCAAAAGGAUCAAAAGUUACUCAAAAAACUUCAUAGAAAGGGCAUUGUAUAAUGAAAAGAACAACACUGAGAUCAUAUAACUGCAGUAUUUCUUGAGCGUGAAAGGGGAACUAUUAAAUAUUAUGCUGGGACAAUAAGUGUAAACUGGAACUCUCCCCACAAAAUCAAAAUGUACACUCAUCCCACUUACAGUAAUCACCACUACAUGGUUUUUAAAAAAUUUUUAUUGGAAUGUAGUUGACUUACCAUGUUGUAUUCAUUUCAGGUGUACACCAGAGUAAAUCAGUUAUACUUAUACAUAUAUCCAUUCUUUUUAUAUGUAAUAACAUAUAGGUUAUUAAAAACUAUUGAGAUUUCCCUGUGCUAUAUGGUAGGUUCUUAUUAUCUAUUUUAUACAUUAGUGUGUAUAUGUUAAUCCCAUCCUCUCACUUCCUCUCUCCCUUCUAUGGUUUCCCAUAUGGUAACCAAAAGAUUAGUUUUGAAAUCUCAGUUUGUUUCUGUUUUAUAAAUUUUUUUUGUAUUAUUCUAAUAAAAAUAAUACAAAAAAAUUAUUUAUAAAAGAGAAACUGAGAUUUCAAAACCCAUCCUAUUAAUGGUUAACAAUAAUUAAUUUUACUUCAUUCAGUAUGAAAACCUCUUGGUCCCUCCAUGUUGCUGCAAAUGCCAUUAUUUUGUUCUUUUUAUGGCUGAGUAAUAUUCCAUUAUAUCUAUAUACCACACCUUCUUUAUCUAUUCAUCUCUUGAUGGACAUUUAGGUUGUUUCUGUGUCUUAGCUAUUGAAAAUAGUGAUGCAGUGAAUAUUGGGGUGCAUGUAUCUUUUUGAAAUAUGUUUUUUUACCACUACAUGUAUUAUGAAGAUUUUUUAAAUUGCAUUCCUCAAUAAAAGCCAGUGAUUGCACACAAAAUAGUAAUUCAGUGAAAGCAGCUCUGAGGUUAACAUAAUAUGGUUGCUUAUAACUUUCAGUUGAUCUAGUUGACUGGUCAUAUUAGAGCAUGGUGGAGCAGGAGUAAACUCAAAUGGCUUCAGCAGUGAGCAAAUUAACAUAAGAUCAUCAAGUAGCCAGGUGUAGACUAAGAGAGAAUGAUUAGUGAAGAAAACAUUUUAAAACAAUAUUUUGGAAAACAAAAUCCACCCAUAGGUUUAAUCUAGUUUCCAACUAAGUGAAUGACAGCUGGCAAUAAUGGCAUAUCCAUAUAGUAUGCUUAUUUGAAUGCCAUCUGCAUUCAGAAUUACAUAGACAUUUUUAAGCAUUUGCCAGACCUUCAUUUUUCAACUAAUUCUUGCUUGUGUCUCUUACUAUGUUGAAAAUAUUUAGAAGGGUUUUUAUUUAAGUUUGAACAAUUUCUGAAUUAAUUUUUAAAUUUUAUUUAAGUAGCACAUUCUUUUGAACAGUAAUCAUUACUGACUCAAAUUUUCCUCUGGGAGUUCCCUUGUGGUGCAGAGGGUUAAGGAUUAGUUGUCACUGCAGUAGCUCUGGUCACUGCUCUGGCACAGUGUGAUCCCUGGCUCGGGAAAUUCCACAUGCCACCGGCAUGACCAAGAGAAUUUUUUUUCCUCUGACUCUGGCUGCUGGAGAAAUGCUUUUUCUUGGUCUUUCAGUAUGAAAGAGCUAUUUAAAAAAAAUAGCUCAUGCAAUCAGAGGCUACAUUAGUAAAAGAUUAAGAUUCUAAACAAGGGAACUGACAGUUGAAGGGAGACAGCAGUCUCACCUUACACUGUGCUGGUACAGAUCCUUGUGGGUGCCUCAGUUACUACAGGGAGACACUGACAAAGCAUAGAGACACAAAAGGCAAUGCUGCCAUUUCCCAUGCUUUCUAGGUGUCUCCUCUUUUCAAUAGAACUUUUCAAGCUCCUGCACCCCAGCCCUGCCCCUUCUCCCCUUGUCAACUCUUAAAAGAUGACUUGGUCUCAGAAACAUCAUCAAAUAAUUCAGGUUCACUCUCUCUUUUUGAUGUGCCUGUGUCCACACAGCUCUAGCUGGUAGAAGAGCUGUCCUUCUUCCUAUUUAAGACAUUUUUUCCUCCACAGGAUGUCACCUCCUCUGCCCUCUCAGGAAUCCUUUUUUAUUAUCUACUUACAUCCUAUUCUAUAUCUUCAACCCUCUCUUUCUCCAGAUUCUUCCCUGUGGACAUAAAAAGGAAGUCAAGGAUUUCCCAUCGUGGCUCAGCGGUAAGGAACCCGACUAGUGUCCAUGAGGACUCUGGUUCCAUCCCUGGCUUUGCUCAGUGGGUUAAGGAUCUGGCAUUGCCAUGAGCUCUGGUGUAGUCUGCAGACAUGGCUCAGAUCUGGUGUUGCUAUGGCUGUGGUGUAGGCUGUAUUUUGACCUCUAGCCUGGGAACUUCCAUAUGCUGCAGGCGCAGCCCUAAAAAGACUGAAAAAGAAAAAAGAGAAAAGAAUUAUCUUUGGGAGUUCCCUGGUGGCCUAGUGGUUAAGGAGCUGUUGGUGUCACUUCUGUGGCACAGGUUCGAUCCCUGAUAGGGUUUUUCAUAUUCCCUGAGUGCAGCCAAACAAAACAUUAAAAAAAAAAAUUACCUUUGAUACCAUCUCUUCCUUUUCUCCGGCUCAGCUAUAUUUAAUUGGUCACUACGUCCUAAUUCUCACUUGAAAUAGUCUUCUGACCAGCUUAAACAACUGACUUAACCUGAAUGCACCAUGCUGUCCUGUGUCUUUCCCUUGCCUCUUUCCUGGUACCCUUUGCAUUCCCACUAUUCAGUCCUGCAAUGCGGAGCUCAGAUGUCUCCUCCUACAGCAUGUUCCCUAGCCUCUCUAGCCAAGAUUAGGUGUUCCUCUGGUAUAUUCCCAUAGCACUCUGUGUUUACUUCAUUCAUAUCAACACUGCAACUGCUAAUUUGCUUAUUGGGAUCCCUCUUUAAAUGUAGGAAAACAAUAGCUCACAUUUGUCAAAAGCUGUGUACCAGGCUCUGUAAUAAGAGCAUCCAAAGCAUUAUUCAUUUAAUCCUCACAAUAAUCCCAAGGAGUAGGUAUAAAUACUACCCUCAAUUCCUAGGGAUAGAAACUGAACUCAGCUUAAACAACUUGCUCGAUGUUGCAGAAUUAUGUCCUAACCUUCUUGAGGGUAAAGGUCAUGUCCUAUUUGUCUAUGAAGAGAACUUGGCAUAUUAUGGCACUUGCAGUUCCCCAAUAAAUGUUUAUGGGUCAAAUAAAUACAUGAUGAGCUCAGAGGACAAAACUGGGAUCAACUAACAGAAAUUUUAAAAGAGGCAGAUUUGGGAGUUGUCUUGUGGUGCAGUCGGUUAAGGAUUCAGCAUUAUCACUGCAGUGGCUUGUGUUCCUGCUGUGGCAUGGGUUUGAAUCUUGGCCCAGGAACUUCCAAAUGCCGAGGGUGCAGCCAAAAAGAAAAAAGAAAAAGGAUUUUAUAUUAGCUAGGGCUCUCCAAUGGAACUGAUCACUCAGAAAAGUUAACAUGUAGCACUUAGCACACUGAAGAGUAUUUAUACAUUUGCACGUUCCCCCUUGUGACUAGGGGCUUUAUCUUUGCUUUCAUUCCUCAGAAUCUAGCCAAGGCCUCAAGAUGCUCAGUAGGUGCUCACUGAAUGAAAUGAAUUGAAUUGGAAGGCCCUGAAAACUAAAAAGUGAAUAUUUGACCUUAAUAUCAUUCAUUGGAAGUUAAACCCCGCUGUUUUUUUUCAUUUCUUCCCAUUAGUCUGCCUUUUCUUUCCAAAGAGCUUUGAGAAUAAAGAGAGGACAGGGAAAGCGUUUAGAGACUUUGUAAAAUUCUACCAGACUGUAAGCCCUGUGAGGGUAGGGAAAUUAUCUUUUAUCACAUUACCUCCAUAGCCUAGCACAACAUAACUGUUUAUUUGUUGGAUCACACAAACACACACACACACUCUCUCUCUCUCACCCCCCCCUCCCCCAGUGUGUGCUUUAUUCUUAGAAGAGUCCCACAGAACCAUAUGCCACAUAAGUGACUUCUGCAUCAGGUAGGGGACUGGACCAGAUCAGUAAUGUUAUGCUGAAAAACUAGUGUAAUUAUAUACUUUGGAUCCCAAACAUGAGAGAAAUGGAGAAGGCAAGGGAGGAUAAAAGCAUUAAAUUCCAACUGUCAUUCUGAACAUUGAGAUAAGACUCAGAGUAAUAAAAAAAUCUUCCUUAAAGAUCCACAGACAGGUAGUAAAGAAAUAGCGGGCUGCAUGACCUCUAAGGUCCCUGCUAAAUUUAGUAUUAUUUGAUUUUCAUUUAUUGAUCCUAAACAUCAAGUUAAGAGCCUAUACUUCAAGACACUGUUUAGAUCUAGAGUUACUAAACAUUAUUCUGGGCACUGAGGAGUCAGCUGUAAAAAAAGAGAGAAAUUCUUAACUUCAUGGUGUUUACAUUCUAAUGGAAGGUGGGUGUGGGAGGCAAAUGAGAUUUUAGUGUCCCAAAAAAGAUAGCAAGAGGCUAGGAAGUGGCAAAAUUAAUGGGACAGCAUUCCAAUGGUUAUAUCUUCAAGGGCUGGUUAGGUCAUAGGUACUACUCAAAGGGCUGGAGGGCAAUUCUUGGCAGUAAUUCCUUAACACUUUAAACAUCCAUUCCUUCCUCAAUGUCCUGUUAUCUCAAUUCCCAUCUAAAUUGAUACCAACUGCUUGCUACCACUUCCUCAAGGUAUUUCUUCUCCUCAGAUAAAAAACUAACUAUAAUUUUCUCUUAGGUAUACUAUCAAUCAUUUAUUCUUUUUAAAAACGUUCAAAAAAUCUAUGAAGAA